rnacentral:rRNA from 1 species
AGUCUGACGGAGCAACGCCGCGUGAGUGAUGAAGGUUUUCGGAUCGCAAAGCUCUGUUGUUAGGGAAGAACAAGUGCAAGAGUAACUGCUUGCACCUUGACGGUACCUAACCAGAAAGCCACGGCUAACUACGUGCCAGCAGCCGCGGUAAUACGUAGGUGGCAAGCGUUGUCCGGAAUUAUUGGGCGUAAAGGGCUCGCAGGCGGUUUCUUAAGUCUGAUGUGAAAGCCCCCGGCUCAACCGGGGAGGGUCAUUGGAAACUGGGAAACUUGAGUGCAGAAGAGGAGAGUGGAAUUCCACGUGUAGCGGUGAAAUGCGUAGAGAUGUGGAGGAACACCAGUGGCGAAGGCGACUCUCUGGUCUGUAACUGACGCUGAGGAGCGAAAGCGUGGGGAGCGAACAGGAUUAGAUACCCUGGUAGUCCACGCCGUAAACGAUGAGUGCUAAGUGUUAGGGGGUUUCCGCCCCUUAGUGCUGCAGCUAACGCAUUAAGCACUCCGCCUGGGGAGUACGGUCGCAAGACUGAAACUCAAAGGAAUUGACGGGGGCC